GCUGGGUGUUGUGGUGCAUACCUGUAAUCCCAGUGGCUUGGGAGGCUGAGACAGGAGGAUUGCAAGUUCAAAGCCAGCCUCAGCAACAUUGAGGUGCUAAGCAACUUAGUAAGACCCUGUCUCUA
rnacentral:sRNA from 1 species